rnacentral:rRNA from 1 species
GACGUAGGAGGCGAGCGUUGUCCGGAUUCAUUGGGCGUAAAGAGCACGCAGGCGGUUUGGCAAGUCGGAUGUGAAAACCCGGAGCUCAACUCCGGGCCUGCAUCCGAAACUGCCCGACUAGAGGUAGGUAGGGGAGAUCGGAAUUCCUGGUGUAGCGGUGAAAUGCGCAGAUAUCAGGAGGAACACCGGUGGCGAAGGCGGAUCUCUGGGCCUUACCUGACGCUCAGGUGCGAAAGCUAGGGGAGCGAACAGG